UACGUAGGGGGCUAGCGUUGUCCGGAAUCAUUGGGCGUAAAGAGCGCGUAGGCGGCUAGAUAAGUCCGGUGUGAAAGUCACAGGCUCAACCUGUGAAUGCCGCUGGAAACUGUCUGGCUAGAGUCCGGAAGGGGCGAGUGGAAUUCCUGGUGUAGCGGUGAAAUGCGCAGAUAUCAGGAGGAACACCAAUGGCGAAGGCAGCUCGCUGGAACGGUACUGACGCUGAGGCGCGAAAGCGUGGGGAGCGAACAGG
rnacentral:rRNA from 1 species